rnacentral:rRNA from 1 species
GAUGAACGCUGGCGGCGUGCCUAAUACAUGCAAGUCGAGCGAACGGACGAGAAGCUUGCUUCUCUGAUGUUAGCGGCGGACGGGUGAGUAACACGUGGAUAACCUACCUAUAAGACUGGGAUAACUUCGGGAAACCGGAGCUAAUACCGGAUAAUAUUUUGAACCGCAUGGUUCAAAAGUGAAAGACGGUCUUGCUGUCACUUAUAGAUGGAUCCGCGCUGCAUUAGCUAGUUGGUAAGGUAACGGCUUACCAAGGCAACGAUGCAUAGCCGACCUGAGAGGGUGAUCGGCCACACUGGAACUGAGACACGGUCCAGACACCUACGGGAGGCAGCAGUAGGGAAUCUUCCGCAAUGGGCGAAAGCCUGACGGAGCAACGCCGCGUGAGUGAUGAAGGUCUUCGGAUCGUAAAACUCUGUUAUUAGGGAAGAACAUAUGUGUAAGUAACUGUGCACAUCUUGACGGUACCUAAUCAGAAAGCCACGGCUAACUACGUG